rnacentral:rRNA from 1 species
UACGUAGGGUGCGAGCGUUGUCCGGAAUUACUGGGCGUAAAGAGCUCGUAGGUGGUUUGUCGCGUUGUUCGUGAAAACUCACAACUCAAUUGUGGGCGUGCGGGCGAUACGGGCAGACUGGAGUACUGCAGGGGAGACUGGAAUUCCAGGUGUAGCGGUGAAAUGCGUAGAUAUCUGGAGGAACACCGGUGGCGAAGGCGGCAUCCUGGACCGACACUGACGCUGAGGAGCGAAAGCCAGGGGAGCAAACGGG